AAGAACUAGCACCUCCUCAAAUAUGUUAUCAUUAGAGUCCAUGAUUGAAUGAACAUCUGUAUCACAUGAACCAUGUGAGGAACUGAUGACUGCUGACAGAUCACUGGCUUGUCAGAUCCAUUAUGAUCAUCUGGCUUGAUCUGAAAUACCAAAAACAGCCAAAAGCAAUGUAAAGGACUCUCAACACCAAAUCUCUUGAAGAUCUGAAGGUCUGUAAGGAUCUCCAACAGUGUCUCCAUGAAAAGUUCUCCAUGAACAGCUC